CAGGGAAUGGAAGUGGGUGUGUGUGCGAUCGUGAGGAGAGACCAGGGGAAACCUUCCCCUCAAAACCCUAACACCUCUCAAAUCAUCAAAUUAAGAAGGAAAUUGAAGGUCAAUCGAAUGCAUGUGAUCAAUUCCUUAGUCAUCUAAGGGUUUCCCAUCAUGGGAUAGCAUGUCUACGGGCGCAAGCACGGAGGCUAAUGGGUCAAAAGAAAGCAUGGAACCUAUGCUUGAACUUGGACGCUCAAGGUAACACAAGUCAUGAGGAUCAUCAAGGAAUAGAGAUCGAGGAUCGAGUCACAUGAAGGAUUGUACGGGGUGUAUAAGAAUGUAAUUU